CAACUGAACCAAAACGCAAAAAUUUUAAAUUCUUUAAACGUACGUGAAACCACAGCUAUAAACAAUACUGUACCAUCAAUCUUUUCUAUGCACCGUCAUAUAUUGACGCCAUCAGUUGUAAAACGUAAAGAAUGAACACUUGCAAAAGCUCAAGACUGCAUUGAAUAUGUUGGUCUCAUCGUCAACAAAUAUCAUCCAUUUUUUUAGCAAACAAAAAGCAGCAGACCAAUCAGACGCACCAAGAUGAUCGAAAUUCACGGAGAAAGAUUGCUGUGAAACGGAAGAGAGAUCCGUGAGAUGCUCCCAAUCCACCUACGUUACCUGAAAAUGUAACUAACUAGUAUCUAUGUGAAACACACAAUGCAAUCCUACGAAAGUCUCCACGAGCAUACGCAAAAAGACAGUUACAUGAGCCCUGACGAGGCUAAAGAUAUGGGUCUUAUUGAUCACGUACUGAUGCAUCCACCAGCACGAGAUAUUAGCAGCAUUACAUCUCCUACGUCUGAUGAAGAAGAUAAGAAGGAUAUAUAACUAAAUUCGUUUCUCUGCCUAUUGAAGCUGGAGCAAUUUGACGACCAACUGUGAUGGGUUGCACAGUGUUUAUUUAAUAAUAAUGAUUUUUGCACAGUUAAACCUUAAACUUAUAGUAAGACUAAAGAGAUGCUGAUGGUAUGAGCUUAUUGAGAGAUGACUAUACGGUCCAGAUUAUUGUUCAUAGGGAAUAUCUUUGGGUUUAUUAUGUCUUAUGGAGAACAACAGUAAACUCACACCUAUGUGAUACUUAUGAAAAAGAAAGCACCGUCAACAUUUCUUUGGACAAACAUCGUCGUUUUAACAAGCCUGAAUGCUACUUACUAAUUCAGUACAUGAUCAACCAAAGAUAGUCUGUAAAAUUCAGGAAGACAGCACACUUUUCAACUUCUACUU